CUCUGCUUUUCAUUUUUUUUCCUUUCCCGUUCUCUCUCUCCCAUUCUCUCAAACUCCAUACAAACCCUCAUUGUUCAAUUUAAAAAUUGGAGACCAAAUUCGAGAAUUUUACAAAAAGACAAGAAGAAAAUGUGAUCUACGGACAAAGUGCUACGCAUCUAUCUGAACAAAAUCUCAAUCGGUCAAAUUUGGAAUUUCAUGGCAAUUUGAGGAUUUCUCUCUUUGAGGUUUCGAGAUGGAUCCGAAGGCUUAAGAAUUAUGGAUAUGUUCUACUUCUUGUUUUUUUAGAACUUAAUCGGAUACUUGUACAUAUUUGUUUGUAAGGAAGCAUGAGGCAUGUAAACAUUAAUUUUAUUUUAGAAAUGUAAAAUUGUAGAUUGAGAGAACGGGGCCUGGAUGUGUAUAAAAAGUAGUGUAUUUUGUUCAUUUGUAAAAAAAGGCGGGUCAUGACA